UUGGCUCGCGGUGGUCACGUGGCGGCGGGGGGGGACGCGGCUGAGGCGCGGGUGUCGCGCGGGUCUGUGCUGUCGGGGGAAGUGCCUCUGCCAGGCGCUCGGGACCGCACGGUCAGGCAGUGAGCGUGACCAGGGCGCGGGGUGUUCCGUGCGAGGCGCCGCGGGACUGCGAGGAGACGGGCGGCGGUCGGGAAACGUGAGUGGAUUUGGGAUGCCCGGCGCCGCCUCCUCCUGUCCCCAGAGGGCAUGCCCAGGCGGCCCUGCUCAGAUGGCGGCGACGUCCCUGGCCGCUCAGGGCAGGGAGGCCUGGGACUGCGGAGCGCGGAGCACCGGCCUCGGUCGUGGAUGAGGAAAAAAAAAAAAAAAAACGGAUCUACUUGGACACCCGGCUUGUAUUUGCUUCCCGCAGCGGGUGCCCCGGAGGCGAAGUAACUUGCUUAAAAUCGGGCCACUGUUUUUGCAGCACAGCUCCUUCUGGGUGAUACAUGACUUAUCAGAGCCAUCCGUUUGGUUAGUGCCAGAACCCAGGUCUCACUUCAGCCUGACGUCCCAUUCCACAAGCCCUUUCAACAACCAUUGAACACCUGCCUACGUUGGGGACUCCACAGAUGGUUGGUGCCGAGCCAAGUGGCCACUCAUGUCUGCCGUCUGUCCCAGAGAGCAUCCAAGUGGGAGAGAGGAGCAGAGAGAGAGAAUCCCAAGCAGGCUCCACACUCAUCACAGAGCCUUCCAUGGGGCUUGAUCUCACGACCCCAAGAUCAUGACCUGAGCUGAAAUCAAUGGCCCGAUGCUCAACCGACCAAGCCGCCCAGGUGCUCUUUAAAUCUAGAAAUGACCUCUGAAAAUCUAGAAAUGUACUUAUACUUUUGUCUUUUAUUUUGGGCCAUUUGUCGAAGAGAAUUUGUGCCCCGUCCUGGAGUAUCUUUUAUCUAAAGAAAAAGGGAAAAAAAGGUUAGAACAAACUGGUAGAGAGCAGGCAGUGCCGAAAAGACUAUCACGUGCUGCUUUCCUCAUCCCAUUCUUCAGUUCCCUAGGAGGGUGACUGAGUAUUGAUAAAAUGAUAUCCACGGUCAGGAGGAGGUAGGUGCUAAAGGCAGCGGAAUGAAGAAUUUGGGGUCGUUAUUCCCAGACCAUAGAGCAUGGAAUUCUUAAAUGAUUGUGCCCCCAAACUCCAUAGUUCUUAGAAGAUACACAUUUCCCCGGACUCGUCUGAGGUCCAGAAAUCCACAGGGUGAUGUGUCUCCAACAGACACUCCCCAAGAGCCUUGUUUCCUCCCAUGCUGCUUCUUGUCUGAACUUGAAGCUACUGGAAGUCCUUCUCCUUUAGUUGUUGGGAAGGCAGAGGCUAUCCAAAGUGAGAGAGGAAAGGGAGAUGAAUAAAAUCCGGAGACGAAGAACAUGAGCUCUGGCAUUAAUUGCCCCUUGAUUCCCGAGCAGGCUGCUUGCCAGCUGGAUGGCCUUGGACAAGCUAUUGAACUCUUGGACAAGAGCUCACUCAGUUUCCUCAUCUGUAAAUUGAAGGAAGUAAUAAUACCUUCUUUAAGUUGUAAGGAUUGAAUGGGAAGGUUUUAAAUUGUUUUUUUCUUUUUUUUUUUUAAAUGCUUAUUUUACUCUUGAAAGAGAGAGGGUGUAUGGGUGCAAGUGGGGGAGGGGCAGAGGGAGACAAAGGAUCCGAAGCAGGUUCUGCUCUGACAGCAGAGAGCCCAGUGUAGGGAUUGAGCUCAUCGUGAGAUCAUGACUUUUGCGUCACGGACGCUUAACUGACUGACCCAUCCAGACACCCCUAAAUUAUUUUUUCUAACGGGAUUCUUGUUUUAAAAGAUUUUAGUUACAAAACAAUAGUUUCCUUUUACUAAUCAAAAAUGUAGCAUUCAGAGGUUUUGGCUUCCACACCGUAACUAAUGUAAUUCACCGGGUUCUUACGAUUCGAGCUGAAAGCAAAGAACUGUGAUGUUUUAACUCGAGUAGUUUUAUUCUUAGAUUUAUGAUUUCCAGUAGGCUUUUGGAACGUUGCCCAAGGGCCGGAGACUCCCUAUCCCCCUUUAUAGAUUCUAGACUAGAUCUUUCAAUGUCGACACGUUUGGUUUCAUAACAAAAAAAUAUCAAUGAUUAAACUGGGAUUUAGCUGGAUUCUCAAGACUUUGAACAGUGCCUGACUUGCUUCGUCCUAGAGAUUCCACUCCAUCGGGUGCUCCCAACAUGUCAUAGCUUUUGUGUUUUUCACAUUUCAGACAUCAGUGCAAAAGGAUUAAGACAAACUGCUACGUCUUGUACACCUGUUACUUAUUUUCUCGUGAGGCUUUAGUGGUAUUUAGCAUGUUUAAAAAAAUGCUCAAAAUACUGUGAAUUGUAUAGCGUAGCCUAUCGUGUCAUGUUUCUGGGAACAAAAUUUUGCCAACAAGAAUUCAAAGAAUGAAAGAAAACCAUUGGCAGAUAUCGUGGCCCAAUGAUGGCAGAGGCAAAAAGUGCUCUGGGCUCUGAAGCGGGAGAGAUGCCCGCAGAGGGCAGCGAUGAAGGACGCGUUCGCAGCACUGGGGCUGAGUGGCCUCCAAGGUGAGUGGGUUUGGCGCACGUGGAGAGGGGGCAGAGGUGGCGACAGAACGGUGAAGCGACUAAGGUGCCCGAGUCUUCGAGACAAAGCCAGAGAGAGGCCGCACGAGAGCGCGUCCGCCACGUCUUUGAGGAGAUCGGCUUGCUUCCAUUCCCCGCCAUGUCUAACGAGUUUGGAAUAAGACGCUUUUCUCCCUUCUGGCUGCCGGUGCCUCCGAGUGAUCACCAGUGUCGAGGUUGGCUGAGCGCAGGGGCUUUUCUGGAUGCAGCCAAGGGUGGUGCCUGGCCUGCCUCUGAGGACUCUCCGGAAUGACGGAACGCAGACGCGGCGUCUGUGAGACUUGUCCUCAACCAGCCCACGGUCUCCCUGCACCUGGUCUGUCGUUGCGCCUCCGUAUUGACGUGCUUGCUGUUUUACCCUUGGAUCCUUCAUCUGUUUUUGUGGCUCGCCCUCUCUUAGCCUUCUUUCUGCCUGUCCACCUGCCACCCCUGCCACAUACUUUCUCUCAGAGUCUGUGGCUUUCGGGGACUCUUCUGGUGAGGAGGAGGAGAGGGAUAGAUGCAUACGCGUUUAGCAGUGAACAAAUAAAUGCCUGCACGUGAUGUAACUGCCAUGUGACCUGAGGUCGCAUCAUGUGGAGUAUAGUACUUGAAACAAGGGAGGUGGUCUCUUCUGACUCUUGAGGAGGCACGAGGCGAGGCGGCAUAGAGGGUAGAGGUUAAGAAUACGGGGCUCUGGAGACAGGCUGCCUACAUUUCAGUACCAGCUUUCAUUUCCUCACUUGGUGGCCUUGAGCAACAUAACUUCACUUCCAUGUCUGUUUCCUCAUUUCCAAUACGGGGAAUAAUAAUAGUAAUCUUAUCUAAUGGAGUUGUUGACAUUAAAUUGCAGUUCUGUAAUUGAAGUGCUUAGAAGGGAGCCUGGCACAUAAGUACUCCAUGAAAGUUGGUUUUUACGGUUGUCGGUUCCGGGAAGCAUUCUUUAAAGAAGCGUGCAGACGCCGUGUGGCAGACUUGGAGGAUGUGACUGUGGGGGUGAGGGGACGGGCCACGCGGUCUAAGUGGAGGCCGCAGGAAUCAGGGAGGCCGAGACUAGAAAAGAAAACUCAAGAGGAUGUACGGUUUUUUUCAGAGAUGUGUGGAAGUCUCCUCUUGUGUUUGUCAUCUGUCACAGUGCGUAUGGCCCCAAAGUGAUGGCCUCUGUGAUGGUCUCGAAGGAGGCGGGGGGGG